rnacentral:rRNA from 1 species
AACGAACGCUGGCGGCAGGCUUAACACAUGCAAGUCGAACGAACAUAGCGAUAUGUUAGUGGCAGACGGGUGAGUAACGCGUGGGAAUGUGCCCUAUGGUUUGGAAUAACUCAGGGAAACUUGAGCUAAUACCGGAUAAUCCCGAGAGGGGAAAGAUUUAUCGCCAUUGGAGCAGCCCGCGUCUGAUUAGCUAGUUGGUGAGGUAAUGGCUCACCAAGGCGACGAUCAGUAGCUGGUCUGAGAGGAUGAUCAGCCACACUGGGACUGAGACACGGCCCAGACUCCUACGGGAGGCAGCAGUGGGGAAUAUUGGACAAUGGGGGCAACCCUGAUCCAGCCAUGCCGCGUGAGUGAUGAAGGCCUUAGGGUUGUAAAACUCUUUUAUCCGGGAAGAUAAUGACUGUACCGGAAGAAUAAGCCCCGGCUAACUUCGUGCCAGCCGCCGCAGUAA